rnacentral:tRNA from 1 species
GGGACCAUAGCUCAACGGCAGAGCAGAGGAUUUUUAACCCUCCGGCUGCGGGUUCGACUCCCGCCGGUCUCG